rnacentral:rRNA from 1 species
GGCGGACGGGUGAGUAAUGCUUGGGAAUAUGCCUUAUGGUGGGGGACAACAGUUGGAAACGACUGCUAAUACCGCAUGAUGUCUACGGACCAAAGUGGGGGACCUUCGGGCCUCACGCCAUAAGAUUAGCCCAAGUGGGAUUAGCUAGUUGGUGAGGUAAUGGCUCACCAAGGCAACGAUCCCUAGCUGGUUUGAGAGGAUGAUCAGCCACACUGGGACUGAGACACGGCCCAGACUCCUACGGGAGGCAGCAGUGGGGAAUAUUGCACAAUGGGCGCAAGCCUGAUGCAGCCAUGCCGCGUGUGUGAAGAAGGCCUUCGGGUUGUAAAGCACUUUCAGUAAGGAGGAAAGGUUAAGUGUUAAUAGCACUUAGCUGUGACGUUACUUACAGAAGAAGCACCGGCUAACUCCGUGCCAGCAGCCGCGGUAAUACGGAGGGUGCGAGCGUUAAUCGGAAUUACUGGGCGUAAAGCGUAC